rnacentral:rRNA from 1 species
CCUACGGGAGGCAGCAGUGGGGAAUUUUGGACAAUGGGCGCAAGCCUGAUCCAGCCAUGCCGCGUGUGGGAAGAAGGCCUUCGGGUUGUAAACCACUUUUGUCAGGGAAGAAACGGCUCUUACUAAUAUUAGGGGCUAAUGACGGUACCUGAAGAAUAAGCACCGGCUAACUACGUGCCAGCAGCCGCGGUAAUACGUAGGGUGCAAGCGUUAAUCGGAAUUACUGGGCGUAAAGCGUGCGCAGGCGGCUUUGCAAGACAGAUGUGAAAUCCCCGGGCUCAACCUGGGAACUGCAUUUGUGACUGCAUGGCUAGAGUACGGUAGAGGGGGAUGGAAUUCCGCGUGUAGCAGUGAAAUGCGUAGAUAUGCGGAGGAACACCGAUGGCGAAGGCAAUCCCCUGGACCUGUACUGACGCUCAUGCACGAAAGCGUGGGGAGCAAACAGGAUUAGAUACCCUGGUAGUCCACGCCCUAAACGAUGUCAACUGGUUGUUGGACGGCUUGCUGUUCAGUAACGAAGCUAACGCGUGAAGUUGACCGCCUGGGGAGUACGGCCGCAAGGUUGAAACUCAAAUGAAAUUGACGG